AAAGCACACAAAGAUGGCAAACUUCGAAAGCGGGACUUCCUUGACCGAGAUGAAAGACGUUUCAAAUAUUCGAAUUUUUUACUGGAACUUUACAAGCUAUAAUUAGUAUUUAUUGUUUAUUAUUUGUUUUUGCUAUAAUGAAUUUUUGCUAAUCAGAAUCCUUUCAGAAAAAUAGUGAAUCAUAUAAGCCCUGGUCAAAAAGAAAGAGGCGAUUUCAAAUGACGACAAAUGGCGGAUACCAUAUUAUCACAGACGAC
rnacentral:lncRNA from 1 species